GGCUGGGUCCGAGUACAGUGGUAUUUACAACUAAUUGAUCACAACUGGUUACAGAUUUGUUUGUUCCUUCUUCACUCCCACUGCUUCACUUAACCAGCUUGGA
rnacentral:Y_RNA from 1 species